CUUCCGCCGGCGACCGGCGCACGGGUGAGUAACACGUAUGCAACCUGCCCCUGUCAGGGGGACAACCCGCCGAAAGGCGGGCUAAACCCGCGUACAUGCCACCGGGGCAUCCCGGAGGCAGGAAAGGCUUCGGCCGGACAAGGAUGGGCAUGCGGCGCAUUAGGCAGUAGGCGGGGUAACGGCCCACCUAACCGACGAUGCGUAGGGGUUCUGAGAGGAAGGUCCCCCACACUGGUACUGAGACACGGACCAGACUCCUACGGAAGGCAGCAG
rnacentral:rRNA from 1 species